CCUACGGUGGUCAGCAGUGGGGAAUAUUGGGCAAUGGGCGCAAGCCUUACCCAGCAAUACCGCGUGAGUGACGAAGGUCUUCGGAUUGUACAGCUCUUUGAUCAGGGACGAACAGAUGACGGUAACUGAAGAACAAGCCCCGGCCAACUACGUGCCAGCAGCCGCGGUAAAACGUAGGGGGCGAGCGUUGUCCGGAAUGACUGGGCGUAAAGUGUGCGUAGGCGGCAUAAUACGUUAGAAUGGAAAUACCCAGAGCUUAACUCGGGUGCUGCUUCUAAGACUGUUGAGCUUGAGUGCGUGAGAGGGUAAUGGAAUUCCUAGUGUAGCGGUGGAAUGCGUAGUUAUUAGGAGGAACACCAGAGGCGAAGGCGAUUAACUGGACCGUAACUGACGCUGAGGCACGAAAGUGUGGGUAGCAAACAGGAUUAGAUACCCCAGUAGUC
rnacentral:rRNA from 1 species